rnacentral:rRNA from 1 species
CCUACGGGCGGCUGCAGUGGGGAAUAUUGGGCAAUGGGCGCAAGCCUGACCCAGCAACGCCGCGUGAAGGAAGAAGGCUUUCGGGUUGUAAACUUCUUUUCUCAGGGACGAAGCAAGUGACGGUACCUGAGGAAUAAGCCACGGCUAACUACGUGCCAGCAGCCGCGGUAAUACGUAGGUGGCAAGCGUUAUCCGGAUUUACUGGGUGUAAAGGGCGUGUAGGCGGGAAAGCAAGUCAGAUGUGAAAACCAUGGGCUCAACCUGUGGCCUGCAUUUGAAACUGUUUUUCUUGAGUACUGGAGAGGCAGACGGAAUUCCUAGUGUAGCGGUGAAAUGCGUAGAUAUUAGGAGGAACACCAGUGGCGAAGGCAGCUUACUAAACUAUAACUGACACUGAAGCACGAAAGCGUGGGGAUCAAACAGGAUUAGAUACCCCGGUAGUC